AUUGAACGCUGGCGGCAGGCCUAACACAUGCAAGUCGAGCGGAUGAAGGGAGCUUGCUCCUGGAUUCAGCGGCGGACGGGUGAGUAAUGCCUAGGAAUCUGCCUGGUAGUGGGGGAUAACGUCCGGAAACGGGCGCUAAUACCGCAUAUGUCCUGAGGGAGAAAGUGGGGGAUCUUCGGACCUCACGCUAUCAGAUGAGCCUAGGUCGGAUUAGCUAGUUGGUGGGGUAAAGGCCUACCAAGGCGACGAUCCGUAACUGGUCUGAGAGGAUGAUCAGUCACACUGGAACUGAGACACGGUCCAGACUCCUACGGGAGGCAGCAGUGGGGAAUAUUGGACAAUGGGCGAAAGCCUGAUCCAGCCAUGCCGCGUGCGUGAAGAAGGUCUUCGGAUUGUAAAGCACUUUAAGUUGGGAGGAAGGGCAGUAAGUUAAUACCUUGCUGUUUUGACGUUACCAACAGAAUAAGCACCGGCUAACUUCGUG
rnacentral:rRNA from 1 species